rnacentral:lncRNA from 1 species
CAAUCAUCACACCUGCCCACCAAUCACUACUUAAACCCUGCUUCAAUUGAUUCCAUUUAAGCGUUAUGAAAAGACAGGUGCAAGAGAAAAAGGAGGACGGAUGGUGUAGCCUACUUUCCAUACAAUUAUUUCCAGUCUUUGUACGUUUCACACACUGGACAAGAGGGGCGUCGGGAAAAGAAACUGAUGGCUGUGUGUAAAAGAUUUGAACUUCAGAUGGCAACUGUUGUGUGUCUGAUGAUUACGAUAUAUAUGAUGGUCUACCAUAAUGUUCAUGGAGAGCUAAUCCAAGAGGUUCCCACUCAACAAAAACUGAGGACUACGUCUGUAUUAUCCAGAAUGCUGUUUGCUUCGCCUAACUCUCCUCUGCAGUAUCCUAUUCAGGGUUUUAAAGUACGGCCUUUGACCUCCACUCUCAUACCAGAGUUGGAUGCACUGGGUGAUGAGCUGCUGUUGGCCUCGUCUAUCCCGUAA